CCUACGGGAGGCAGCAGUAGGGAAUUUUCGUCAAUGGACGCAAGCCUGAACGAGCAAUGCCGCGUGAACGAGGAAGGUCUUCGGAUCGUAAAGUUCUGUUGAAUGGGAAAAAGAGCGGAGAGAGGAAAUGGUCUCCGAUUGAUAUUACCCUUCGAGGAAGUCACGGCUAACUACGUGCCAGCAGCCGCGGUAAUACGUAGGUGGCGAGCGUUAUCCGGAAUGAUUGGGCGUAAAGGGUGCGUAGGCGGCCUGCUAAGUCUGGAGUGAAAGGUACCGGCUCAACCGGUACAGGCUCUGGAAACUGGCGGGCUAGAGAGCAGGAGAGGGCGGUGGAACUCCAUGUGUAGCGGUAAAAUGCGUAGAUAUAUGGAAGAACACCAGUGGCGAAGGCGGCCGCCUGGCCUGUUACUGACGCUGAGGCACGAAAGCGUGGGGAGCAAAUAGGAUUAGAUACCCGGGUAGUC
rnacentral:rRNA from 1 species